rnacentral:rRNA from 1 species
GUAGGGUGCAAGCAUUAAUCGGAAUUACUGGGCGUAAAGCGUGCGCAGGCGGUUUUGUAAGUCUGUCGUGAAAUCCCCGGGCUCAACCUGGGAAUUGCGAUGGAGACUGCAAGGCUAGAAUCUGGCAGAGGGGGGUAGAAUUCCACGUGUAGCAGUGAAAUGCGUAGAGAUGUGGAGGAACACCGAUGGCGAAGGCAGCCCCCUGGGUCAAGAUUGACGCUCAUGCACGAAAGCGUGGGGAGCAAACAGGAUUAGAUACCCUGGUAGUCCACGCCCUAAACGAUGUCAACUAGGUGUUGGGAGCGCAAGUUCUUGGUACCGCAGCUAACGCGUGAAGUUGACCGCCUGGGGAGUACGGUCGCAAGAUUA